rnacentral:lncRNA from 1 species
GCAAGUGGAAGCCAAUGGGCAGGCCCCAAGACACGUGCAGGGGGCUGCUGGGAUUGUGGACGUCACUUGGGACCUCGUGCGCCUUCUCCUGCUGGUGGGAAAAGUGGAGAUAGUAACUUCCACCUGGAAGUGAGGCUGUGACGCUUGUAGAUAGAUGGUGGUAGGCCUCGCCUCUGCUAUCCUGAGGCCCUCGGGAGCUCAAGUCACGGUCCAGCCGGUCCAAACGCUCUGACUGGGACAUUUCUGAAAACUAACUUCUGCGCGCUGGGACUAGGCCGGCUCUCCGAGGCUGCAUGGACAAAUGUGUUUGCCUUAACAGCAGCCUUUCAAAUGGCCCACCCCAAACCCAUCACAACACUGCAUCAAUUCCACACGCCAUUCAGGAAGUAAGGCUAUUUUCUCCUCAUCCUGUGACCCUCCGGAUAUACUCCAGACUGUCAAGUUCUUGCCAAAGAGAAGAGCAAUUGGGUGGGAUGCUGACGGCUAUAAAAGGGUUGAAGAGACUUUCUAUGGGCUCCCCGUAGGAAGGAGGAUGGAACAGGAGCCUGACAUUCGGUCUCAGAGGCGCUCACCUUCCAGGUUCAGGACUGUGGAUGCUGUCAGACACCCUUCACAGGAACAGAUGGUGCUCACAGUUGGGACCCUGUCAGUGCCCAAGGACACCCAGGGCCCUGCUGGGUUCCCACCUGCAAGCUCCCCUCCUAGACAAUGCACCUGUGCUUGAGCUUCUGGGGCCACUAGCGUCUGCCAAGAACAAAUCAUGUUUGCAAAGGGAGAUAUGAGAAAGCCACAGCACAAUGCACAGAGGCUCUUAAAAACUUACGAUAUUAACAAAUGUGACUUGAGCAUUCAAAAGAUCCUGGAUGCUAUACUUGGUGCUUGGGAUACAGUAGAGAUCGAACCAGGUACAUCUUCUACCCUCCUGAAGUUUACUGUCUAGCAAGAAGGUGGAGGGAGUGGGGAAGAGGGUGCCGAACACUGAGC